CGACGGCCGGCGGUCGCCCGCUCGCCGCUCGCCGCGUCACACAUCCAUCCCUUUCCCGCAAACCGGUGCUACACACAGUGUGAAAGAAACGCAGUUGAAAAACGCUAGGGACAGAAAGAAUAAACAAAUGUGAUGAUAUUCGGGAGUCGUGUGGGAUGUGAUCGUACGAGGGUCGCGCUCUAGACAACAUGACCUCCUGGCUCGGGACCGCCCUCGUCAUCCUCUUUGCUAUGGGAGGAGAGGGCCAGGAGCACGGGCCGGUGUUCCUGCUGGAGCCGCCGGCGCGCCUGGCCUUCGCCAACAGCACGGGCG